UACUGUACUGACUGGAAACUAAAUGUAAACAUUGAUAAGACAAAAGUAAUGGUGUUUGAGAAGGCGAAGCGUAAAAGAAAUAUGAGAUUCAUGCUAAGGGGCGAGGAGUUACAGCUCACCGACAGUUAUAAUUACCUGGGAUUAUUAAUAAGAUACAAUUGUAAUUUUAAUUUAUCAAAGAAAAAACUUGUUGAACAAUCACAAAAAGCACUGUAUGCAUUAUACUAUAAGUUAAGAAAUGUAAACAUCCCUUCAGAUCUGCAGUUUCGACUAUUUGAUUGUAUGGUCGCUCCAAUUUUACUUUAUGGGUCGGAAAUCUGGGGUCAUGAAAAUGUUGACAUGAUUGAAAAGGUGCACUUGAGUUUCCUAAAAAGAGUCUUGAAUGUUAGAUCAACAACACCAAACUAUAUGGUCUAUGGGGAAACUGGCAGAUUUCCAUUAAAAAUUAAUAUUAAAACUAAAUUACUAUGCUUUUGGUCAAGGCUAGUGCAAAGCGGUAGUAACAAAUUAUCUGGG
rnacentral:lncRNA from 1 species